rnacentral:rRNA from 1 species
UACAGAGGGCGCGAGCGUUAAUCGGAAUUACUGGGCGUAAAGCGCACGUAGGCGGCUUGGUAUGUCGGGUGUGAAAUCCCCCGGGCUCAACCUGGGAACUGCAUCCGAAACUGCCUUGCUCGAGUAUGGGAGAGGGAAGUGGAAUUUCCGGUGUAGCGGUGAAAUGCGUAGAUAUCGGAAGGAACAUCAGUGGCGAAGGCGACUUCCUGGACCAAUACUGACGCUCAGGUGCGAAAGCGUGGGGAGCAAACAGGG